UCUGCCAUUUCAAACCCCCCCCCAAAUGCUCAUACCAAAUAAACUUGUGUACAAAAUCGAAUAGGAUCUCUCAUCCACCAAACACAUCCUUCUGAUUACUUUCCCAAAAUCCCCUUUAUCACUGUUAUCGUUACCAUCAUAGAGAGAAAACUUCAAUCUUGAUAUCAAUGAUGAAACCCUAGAUUCUUUUGAUGUUUUCCCAACUUGGUCCUUCUGGUGGAAGAAGUUGUGGCUAUUCACGGACGAGAACUCCAUUUCUUGAUCCUGGAAACCUAGAAAGGGAUCUUGAGGCUAGAGCCACUAUAGGAUAUUCAUUGUUAUGGUUAUUGAUGUGGGUAAUGGUUAUGGGGUUCUUGAUCCAGAUAUUGUCAGCGAGGGUUGGGGUGGCCAUGGGGCAUCAUCUUGCUCAGAUCUGUAAUGAAAGAGUAUCACAUGGGUCGUUUUUGUCAUGGGUUUUUGCCCAGAUUGAGGCUAAUAUCUAGGAGCUAAUUCUUAGCCGUGGGUUUUUGCCGUUUUGGGCUGGAGUUGUAAUUUCUGCAUUUAAUUGGCUAUCAAUGAUCAUGGAUCAUAUAUAAUGGGGUUUCAGUGAGCAACAGAGAUGGGAUGCAAUCAGGAGAAUCUAAGUUUUGCUAUGAUGAAGAAGAGACACAGGUAUUUUGUGAUUUUGUUGUGGAUUAGAUAAGGCCUAGCACACUACAGAGAACAAUUUUAAUUGUAAGUCCAAUUGUUGAAUUCCUAAAUGUUGGUGUGAAUCCCAUACAAUGUUAAUGAUUUCUUUCACCUCUUAGCUUUUGAAUUUGGCAAGAUUUGGUGGUUAACCAGUGACUUGAAAGAGGAGGGUUGUUGGAGGCUACACAAGCAUGGACUUCGUGGAAAGGUACUUCAAAACUUGCUCACUUUGUGGUCUAAUGUGUUGCACCACUCUAAAUACAAGACCUUUGAUGGUCCACAAGAAUAUUCAAGCAACCCAAAUUUUAGCAUUAUUAUAAUUUCUGGUUUUAUGUUUGAUAUUUUUUUUAUCAA